rnacentral:rRNA from 1 species
GGGGAAUAUUGGACAAUGGGCGCAAGCCUGAUCCAGCCAUGCCGCGUGUGUGAAGAAGGCCUUUUGGUUGUAAAGCACUUUAAGCGGGGAGGAGGCAACUUGGGUUAAUACCCCGAUGUUGCGGACGUUACCCGCAGAAUAAGCACCGGCUAACUCUGUGCCAGCAGCCGCGGUAAUACGGAGGGUGCGAGCGUUAAUCGGAAUUACUGGGCGUAAAGCGCGCGUAGGCGGCUUGUUAAGUCGGAUGUGAAAUCCCUGGGCUCAACCUAGGAACUGCAUUCGAUACUGGCAAGCUAGAGUGUGGGAGAGGAAGGUAGAAUUCCAGGUGUAGCGGUGAAAUGCGUAGAGAUCUGGAGGAAUACCGAUGGCGAAGGCAGCCUUCUGGCCUAACACUGACGCUGAGGUGCGAAAGCAUGGGGAGCAAAC